AUUGAACGCUGGCGGCAGGCUUAACACAUGCAAGUCGAGCGGAGAUGAGGUGCUUGCACCUUAUCUUAGCGGCGGACGGGUGAGUAAUGCUUAGGAAUCUGCCUAUUAGUGGGGGACAACAUUCCGAAAGGAAUGCUAAUACCGCAUACGUCCUACGGGAGAAAGCAGGGGAUCUUCGGGCCUUGCGCUAAUAGAUGAGCCUAAGUCGGAUUAGCUAGUUGGUGGGGUAAAGGCCUACCAAGGCGACGAUCUGUAGCGGGUCGGAGAGGAUGAUCCGCCACACUGGGACUGAGACACGGCCCAGACUCCUACGGGAGGCAGCAGUGGGGAAUAUUGGACAAUGGGGGGAACCCUGAUCCAGCCAUGCCGCGUGUGUGAAGAAGGCCUUAUGGUUGUAAAGCACUUUAAGCGAGGAGGAGGCUACUGAGACUAAUACUCUUGGAUAGUGGACGUUACUCGCAGAAUAAGCACCGGCUAACUCUGUGCCAGCCGCCGCUGUAAGAC
rnacentral:rRNA from 1 species